rnacentral:rRNA from 1 species
AGUCUGAUGGAGCCCGCCGCGUGAGUGAAGAAGGCUUUCGGGUCGUAAAACUCUGUUGUUGGGGAAGAUGGUCUGCAGAGUAUCCGUUGGCUCCGUGACGUUACCCAACCAAAAAGCCACGGCUAACUACGUG